CGGGCUAUGGCGCAGCCUGGUAGCGCGUCCGUCUGGGGGACGGAAGGCCGUGAGUUCGAAUCUCGCUGGCCCGACCA
rnacentral:tRNA from 1 species